rnacentral:tRNA from 1 species
CUCAGAGAAAAAGUACUUAAUUUCACCCUCAGCACCCAAAGCUAAAAUUCUAAUUUAAACUAUUCUCUG